GGACGAACGCUGGCGGCGUGCUUAACACAUGCAAGUCGAGCGGAAAGGCCCUUUCGGGGGGUACUCGAGCGGCGAACGGGUGAGUAACACGUGAGUAAUCUGCCCUUGGCUUUGGGAUAACUACCGGAAACGGUGGCUAAUACCGGAUAUGACCAUGCUCGGCAUCGGGUGUGGUGGAAAGUUUUUUCGGCCAGGGAUGUGCUCGCGGCCUAUCAGCUUGUUGGUGGGGUAAUGGCCUACCAAGGCUUCGACGGGUAGCCGGCCUGAGAGGGUGACCGGCCACACUGGGACUGAGACACGGCCCAGACUCCUACGGGAGGCAGCAGUGGGGAAUAUUGGACAAUGGGCGGAAGCCUGAUCCAGCAACGCCGCGUGAGGGAUGACGGCCUUCGGGUUGUGAACCUCUUUCAGUACCGACGAAGCGCCGAUGAUGGUGGUGACGGUAGGUACAGAAGAAGCACCGGCCAACUACGUG
rnacentral:rRNA from 1 species